UUUCGGAGAGUUUGAUCCUGGCUCAGGGUGAACGCUGGCGGUAUGCCUAAGACAUGCAAGUCGAACGGGCUGUUUAUGCAGCCAGUGGCGGACGGGUGAGUAACACGUAGGUGACCUACCCCAAAGUCUGGGACAACUAGGAGAAAUCUUAGCUAAUCCUGGAUGUGGACACUCACCUUGGUGGGUGUCUAAAGCCUUC
rnacentral:rRNA from 1 species